rnacentral:rRNA from 1 species
CUACGGGGGGCUGCAGUGAGGAAUAUUGCACAAGGGGGGGAACCCUGAUGCAGCAACGCCGCGUGGAGGAUGAAGCAUUUCGGUGUGUAAACUCCUUUUAUAUGUCAAGAAAAUGACGGUAGCAUAUGAAUAAGCACCGGCUAACUCCGUGCCAGCAGCCGCGGUAAUACGGAGGGUGCAAGCGUUACUCGGAAUCACUGGGCGUAAAGGACGCGUAGGCGGGUUGGAAAGUCAGGUGUGAAAUCCUACAGCUUAACUGUAGAACUGCACUUGAAACUUCUAAUCUAGAGUAUGGGAGGGGGAGAUGGAAUUAGUGGUGUAGGGGUAAAAUCCGUAGAUAUCACUAGGAAUACCUAAAGCGAAGGCGACCUCCUGGACCGAUACGGAUGCUAAGGCGUGAAAGCGUGGGGAGCAAACAGGAUUAGAUACCCUAGUAGUC